AGAUUGAACGCUGGCGGCAUGCCUUACACAUGCAAGUCGAACGGCAGCACGGGAGCAAUCCUGGUGGCGAGUGGCGAACGGGUGAGUAAUAUAUCGGAACGUGCCCAGUCGUGGGGGAUAACGUAGAGAAAUUUACGCUAAUACCGCAUACGAUCCAAGGAUGAAAGCGGGGACCGUAAGGCCUCGCGCGACUGGAGCGGCUGAUAUCAGAUUAGCUUGUUGGUGAAGGUAAAAGCUCACCAAGGCGACGAUCUGUAGCUGGUUUGAGAGAACGACCAGCCACGCUGGGACUGAGACACGGCCCAGACUCCGUACGGGAGCAGCAGUGGGGAAUUUGGACAA
rnacentral:rRNA from 1 species